rnacentral:SRP_RNA from 1 species
GACGCUGCGGAUGGGCUCGCGGCGCGGCUGCUCGGCCAGUCCUCCACGUUUGGCGCGGUGCUGGACAUGGUGA